CCUACGGGUGGCAGCAGUAGGGAAUCUUCCUCAAUGGGCGCAAGCCUGAUCCAGCAACGUAGCGUGAGUGAUGAAUGCCCUCCGCGUUGUAAGCUUCUUUUAUAAAGAAGUAAGGUGAAGCUCGUGUGCCUUUUUGUAUGUACUUUAUUAAUAUAGAUCGGCUCAAUACGUUCCAGCCGCCGCGGUAAUACGGAGGCUUCGAGCGUUAUCCGGAUUUAUUUGGUUUAACGGGAGAGUAGAUGGGUCGUUAAGUCAGUUGUGAAAGUUUGCGGCUCAACCGGAACAUUGCAAUUGAUACUGGCAGUCUUGAGUACAGUUGAGGGAGGUGGAAUUCGUGGUGUAGCGGUGAAAUGCUUAGAUAUAACGAAGAACUCCGAUUGCGAAGGCAGCUUACUAAACUGCCACUGACACUGAGGCUCGAAAGUGUGGGUAGCAAACAGGAUUAGAUACCCUUGUAGUC
rnacentral:rRNA from 1 species